AGAUGAGCUUCACUGUGGUUGAGUUCACUGGCAAUGCCAUUGAGGUUGUGCCAUCUUCAUGGCUCGAAAACACUUCUGAGGGGGGCUUCCUCUGCUCCUGGACACCACUUAACAUGUGAAAGCAUGUAAUUAACUGCAGCGAGCCAAACAGAAGCUGGGCUAAACAUCCAGUCAAGAAAGUAUGGUACACAACAGAUUCCUACACCAAAGCAGACCGGAAAUGUCUGCGACUGAUGGACUCUUCAAGUGUUGAGACAGAAGAUGACGCAAAUGUUCAUCAAUCAAG